rnacentral:rRNA from 1 species
UCGGGAAUUUUGGGCAAUGGGCGAAAGCCUGACCCAGCAACGCCGCGUGAGGGAUGAAGUAUUUCGGUAUGUAAACCUCGAAAGAAUGGGAAGAAUAAAUGACGGUACCAUUUAUAAGCUCCGGCUAACUACGUGCCAGCAGCCGCGGUAAUACGUAGGGAGCAAGCGUUGUUCGGAUUUACUGGGCGUAAAGGGCGCGUAGGCGGCGCGGUAAGUCACUUGUGAAAUCUCUGAGCUUAACUCAGAACGGCCAAGUGAUACUGCUGUGCUAGAGUGCGAAAGAGGCAACCGGAAUUCUUGGUGUAGCGGUGAAAUGCGUAGAUAUCAAGAGGAACACCUGAGGCGAAGGCGGGUUGCUGGGCCGACACUGACGCUGAUGCGCGAAAGCCAGGGGAGCAAACG